rnacentral:rRNA from 1 species
GACGAACCGUCCAAACGUUAUUCGGAAUCACUGGGCUUAAAGGGUGCGUAGGCGGUCUGUUAAGUUGGGUGUGAAAGCCCUCGGCUCAACCGAGGAAUUGCGCCCAAAACUAGCGGACUUGAGUAAGGCAGAGGUGAACGGAACUUAGGGUGGAGCGGUGAAAUGCGUUGAUAUCCUAAGGAACACCAGUAGCGAAAGCGGUUCACUGGGCCUUUUCUGACGCUGAUGCACGAAAGCCAGGGGAGCGAACGGG